rnacentral:rRNA from 1 species
AGAGUUUGAUCAUGGCUCAGGAUGAACGCUAGCGGCAGGCCUAAUACAUGCAAGUCGAACGGUAAAUAGAUCAGCAAUGGUCUAUGAGAGUGACGCACGGGUGCGUAACACGUAUGCAACCUACCCUUUACAGGAGUAUAGCUCGGGGAAACUCGAAUUAACACUUCAUAGUAUAAUUGAAUGGCAUCAUUUGAUUAUUAAAUCUGCGGAGGUAAAGGAUGGGCAUGCGUCUGAUUAGCUAGUUGGUAGUGUAAUGGACUACCAAGGCGAUGAUCAGUAGGGGAACUGAGAGGUUGAUCCCCCACACUGGCACUGAGAUACGGGCCAGACUCCUACGGGAGGCAGCAGUAGGGAAUAUUGGUCAAUGGGUGAGAGCCUGAACCAGCCAUGCCGCGUGCAGGAAGACGGCCUUCUGGGUUGUAAACUGCUUUUGCCAGGGGCUAAAAGGCCCAUGCGUGGGAAAUUGAAAGUACCUGGUGAAUAAGCCACGGCUAACUACGUGCCAGCAGCCGCGGUAAUACGUAGGUGGCAAGCGUUGUCCGGAUUUAUUGGGUUUAAAGGGUGCGUAGGCGGCCUAUUAAGUCAGUGCUGAAAUAUCCCGGCUUAACCGGGAGGGUGGCAUUGAUACUGAUGGGCUAGAGUACAGAUGAGGUAGGCGGAAUUGACGGUAGCGGUGAAAUGCUUAGAUAUCGUCAAGAACACCUAUAGCGAAGGCAGCUUACUAGGCUGUAACUGACGCUGAGGCACGAAAGUGUGGGGAUCAAACAGGAUUAGAUACCCUAGUAGUCC